UCUCGCAGUGACUCUAAAGAACUGCGCCAGUCCGCACCUGCGGGCGACACCUUGAUUCUACUGGGACCUCUGCCCUGCAUCGCAGGCGCGGAUACCAGUGGCCUGUGCGUAACAGGUUCACAGAUCAAACAAUGGUGGCCAACUGUUGGUUAAGAUAUGACCGGUCUCCGCUGUAACUAGCCGGAGAAGACACGUUCCGUAGGUGAACCUGCGGAAGGAUCAUUA
rnacentral:rRNA from 1 species